CUCUGCUUCAGGCCCGUGGGAGUCUGGGGGAAGAUCGUGGGCUCUUUGUGCGCGAUCGCUGGUGUGUUGACGAUCGCCCUGCCUGUGCCCGUCAUUGUCUCCAAC
rfam:Apis mellifera strain DH4 linkage group 11, whole genome shotgun sequence.